CCCCUCUCCCUCUCCCUCUCCCUCUCUCCUUUAAAAAAAAAAAAAAGAUGUGUGCCCCCCUAUUCACUGCCAAUAGCCAGAACAUGGAAUCAACCUAAUGAAUGGAUAAAGAAGAUGUGUUACAUACACACAUGGAGUAUUUUUCAGCUUUCACAGAGGCAAUUCUGUCAUUUGCACCAACACAGAUGAAGCUGGAGGGUGUUAUGAUAAGCCAAAUAAGCCAGGCAAAGAAGAGCAUGACACCAACUCACUUUUAUAUGGAACCCAAGAAAGCUGAGCAGGGUCUGGUGGCUCAGGACUUGGGAGGCUGAGGCAGGAGAACUGCAGUUCCAAGGCCAGCUUGGGAAAUGUUGUUUGACCCUGUCUCAAAAUAAAAAAAUUAAAAAGUACUGGGACGUAGUUAUAACAAGACAUCCAUUGAACCCCAUAAAUAUCUACAAUUGUUAUUUCUUGGUUAAAAAUUAAGAGACCAGGGGCUGAAUGUGUGGCUCAGUGGUAGAACAUUUGCCUGGCAUAUGUGAGACCCUGGGUUCUAUCCUCAGCACCACAUAUAAAUAGAUAAAUAAAUAAAAUAAAAGAUCC
rnacentral:lncRNA from 1 species